rnacentral:rRNA from 1 species
GUUGUUCGGAAUCACUGGGCUUAAAGGGUGCGUAGGCGGGUGUCCAGUCUGGGGUGAAAUCCCACGGCUCAACCCGUGGAAUUNCCUCAGAUACUGACGACCUCGAGGGAGGUAGGGGCGAGCGGAACUGUGGGUGGAGCGGUGAAAUGCGUUGAUAUCCACAGGAACUCCGGUGGCGAAGGCGGCUCGCUGGACCUCUUCUGACGCUGAGGCACGAAAGCUAGGGGAGCAAACGGGAUUAGAUACCCCGGUAGUCCUAGCCCUAAACGAUGAGGACUAGGUAGUAGGCUAGACAUGGGCUUACUGCCGAAGCAAAAGUGCUAAGUCCUCCGCCUGGGGAGUAUGGCCGCAAGGCUGAAACUCAAAGGAAUUGACGGGGGCUCACACAAGCGGUGGAGCAUGUGGCUUAAUUCGAGGCUACGCGAAGAACCUUAUCCUGGGCUUGACAUGUGCGAAAGCGCCGGGAAGUAGGACCCGGAAACGGGAACGAACGGUACCCAGCCCGGAACCCGGCACAGGUGCUGCAUGGCUGUCGUCAGCUCGUGUCGUGAGAUGUCGGGUUAAGUCCCAUAACGAGCGAAACCCUUACCUUCAGUUGCUACCCGCAAGGGGCACUCUGGAGGGACUGCCGGUGUCAAACCGGAGGAAGGCGGGGACGACGUCAAGUCAGCAUGGCCUUUAUGCCUGGGGCUACACACACGCUACAAUGGGACGGUACAAUGGGUAGCCAAGCCGCGAGGCGGAGCCAAUCCUCAAAACGUCCCUCAGUUCAGAUUGCAGGCUGCAACCCGCCUGCAUGAAGUCGGAGUUGCUAGUAACCGCGCGUCAGCCAUAGUGCGGUGAAUACGUUCCCGGGUCUUGUACACACCGCCCGUCACACUAUGGGAGCUGGCUACACCUGAAGCCGGUAGCCUAACCGCAAGGAGGGCGCCGUCAAAGGUGGGGCUGGUGACUGGAGUGAAGUCGUAACAAGGUAA